CACACAGGAGGCCCCGCCUUUCUCUAUUCCCCACAGCCCCUUCCUUGACCCCUCUACCUGUUGCUGAGGCCUGGACUCUGCCUGAGACCACCUGCCUGGUUCUUGGCUGCCUGUUUGGCCUUGUUUUUCUUGUUCUGGUUGUUCAACAUUGCUACAGCAGAGCUGCCUACAUGGGAUCUGGACUUUCUGAGCCCCUGCCCUCUGAGGGUGUCUAUGAAGACAUCGAACUUGUUCCUGUGGAGGAGAGAGAAGAGAGGCCCUCAGUGUUUGGGGGCCCAGUGCUGGAGGGUUAUGAUGACAUAGAAGAGACCCAGGAAGGCCAUGAGGAGGAAGCAGAGGAAGCAGAGUUGUCCAGAGUCCUACUCAGUCCCAUGGGUGUGCAUCUCUGUGCCUUUGGGUUCAUUGUGCUCUUCUUGCUCUACUGCUUCUACUCAGAGAGUUCUGCUGUAGUUGAUGCCUACAUUUAAAAUAACUAACAGUGAUGUUUCUCUGUGUCUGUGAUCUCAUUCCCCUGUCUAAGACGUUGGUCUGUUCUAUCCCUUCAAGAAAAUUCCUUAGGCUGGAGUCUUCUCAUUGACUUUUAUGGAAUCAGGCAAUUCCUUUCUCUUUCUUUGGGUAUCUUUUGUAGCUGUGCAGUGUCCUUCCGGGUGGUUAGGUUGGGGAUUUCAGGUUAAAGAUAAUCUUUGUGUCAUCUCACCUACUAUAUCAAACUGUAUCAGCUUCACAGUAGCUUUGCUUCGCAUUGGGAUUCCAGUAGGCCAGAACUCCUGGGGUUCUGAGAAAUCUCUGAGGAUUGCAAUACUUCUCUCUCUCUUUAAAUGCAGGUGGGGCUCCUCAUUUCCUUGGCCCUGAAGCUUAGCCAGGAAUAAAGUCCUAUUGUGGGCCAUGGCAAUCAUAUGCCUAUGAGCUGAUCAUGCAAACCAUAAAUGUGCUCAGAGCAUGAGAAGAAUGCAGGAGGGCUUUCUUACCUUCUUUCUUAAAAAUGUUAUUAAAUAUACUUUGAUUUCAC
rnacentral:lncRNA from 1 species